CCUACGGGUGGCAGCAGUGGGGAAUAUUGGACAAUGGGCGAAAGCCUGAUCCAGCCAUGCCGCGUGUGUGAAGAAGGCCUUCGGGUUGUAAAGCACUUUCAGUGGGGAAGAAAGCCUUGGGGCUAAUACCCUCGAGGAAGGACAUCACCCACAGAAGAAGCACCGGCUAACUCCGUGCCAGCAGCCGCGGUAAUACGGAGGGUGCGAGCGUUAAUCGGAAUUACUGGGCGUAAAGCGCGCGUAGGCGGUCUGAUAAGCCGGUUGUGAAAGCCCCGGGCUCAACCUGGGAACGGCAUCCGGAACUGUCAGGCUAGAGUGCAGGAGAGGAAGGUAGAAUUCCCGGUGUAGCGGUGAAAUGCGUAGAGAUCGGGAGGAAUACCAGCGGCGAAGGCGGCCUUCUGGACUGACACUGACGCUGAGGUGCGAAAGCGUGGGUAGCAAACAGGAUUAGAUACCCUUGUAGUC
rnacentral:rRNA from 1 species